CCCGCCAACAGUGUACCGGGCGCCCUUUUCUCCCAGCUAACUUAUCCAAGCAACCGGCUUAACCAAGAUCAUCUGGUUCUGCAAAUUUAUUGGCCUCUUGUGCAGUGAGCAGAGCAAUCAGUCUUGGAUUUGGUAACAAACUGACCUCACCAGAAUGGCCUGGAGGAAAACACCCCUCACCCCCAACCAAGGGCAGCAUGCAACCAACUUGAUAAGGAAAUACGAAAGUCCUCCUCCUUUGUCUCAAGCCUCCCAGAAACUCAGAUGAAGACUGUAUGUGAAAAUGUUUAUCAGUCCCAGAGAAAAUGAAAAUGCUACUUCUAUUUCUGAGAGUCAUGUGCUGAGUGCUGGCAUCCAAGUUGUAAAACUGUUCAAGAUUUUUGGACCCAAGAACUCCCACGUGUGAGAGAUCAGACCAUCUUGUGUCAUGCUUUAGAAUUUAGUGUCUCAUUUUCUUUAGUCUUUUCUAGCCCUAAUUCAUCUGUAUUUCAGUAAUCA
ensembl:lncRNA